CCUACGGGAGGCAGCAGUGAGGAAUCUUGCGCAAUGGGGGAGACCCUGACGCAGCAACGCCGCGUGAGUGAGGAAGGUCUUCGGAUCGUAAAGCUCUGUCAGAUGGAAAGAACCGCAUGGGGAUAAACAGUCCCUAUGUCUGACGGUACCAUCAGAGGAAGCACCGGCUAACUCCGUGCCAGCAGCCGCGGUAAU
rnacentral:rRNA from 1 species